rnacentral:rRNA from 1 species
UACGGAGGGUGCGAGCGUUGUCCGGAUUUACUGGGCGUAAAGAGCGCGCAGGCGGUCGUUCAAGUCGAGUGUGAAAGCCCCCGGCUCAACUGGGGAGGGUCAUUCGAUACUGAUCGACUCGAAGGCAGGAGAGGGAAGUGGAAUUCCCGGUGUAGUGGUGAAAUGCGUAGAUAUCGGGAGGAACACCAGUGGCGAAGGCGACUUCCUGGCCUGUUCUUGACGCUGAGGCGCGAAAGCUAGGGGAGCAAACGGG